GACGAACGCUGGCGGCGUGCUUAACACAUGCAAGUCGAACGAAGUGGCGAACGGGUGAGUAACGCGUAAUCAACCUGCCCUUCAGAGGGGGACAACAGUUGGAAACGACUGCUAAUACCGCAUACGGAAGGAGGGGAUUGCGUCUGAUUAGCUAGUUGGAGGGGUAACGGCCCACCAAGGCGAUGAUCAGUAGCCUGUCUGGGAGGGUGGACGGGCAAAUUGGGACUGGGAAAAGGCCCAGAAUCCCUCGGGAGGCAGCAGUGGGGAAACUUUCGAAAUGGACGAAAGUCUGACGGAGCAACGCCGCGGGAGGGAUAAAGGCCUUCGGGGUGUAAAGCUAUGUUAAUCGGGACGCGGUACCGGAAUAGAAAGCCACGGCUAACUACGUGCCAGCAGCCGCGGUAAUAC
rnacentral:rRNA from 1 species